UUUUCCAGGUCCAAAAUGUGGACUGGAUGAGAGGAAAAGACCGGUGGACUCUGUGGAAAGGCUGAUGCGAAAGCAGACAGGAGUACCGCACACCCAACGAACGCGUGACCAAGAACGCAGUCAGCUACGCUCAUUCCUGGGUUCUGUCUGGAAAGAGCUGCCGGGAUGCCUCUGAGUGUUUAAUGAAACUUGAAUCUGUGAAGCUGGAGAAGAAGGUGAUCCUCCAUGGCCAAGAGUCCAAAUGCUACUCUGUUGAACCCGUGCUGCGCUGCCUGGCCGGCUGCAUUCCUGUGAGGACAA